UUGGAGGGCAAGUCUGGUGCCAGCAGCCGCGGUAAUUCCAGCUCCAAUAGCGUAUAUUAAAGUUGCUGCAGUUAAAAAGCUCGUAGUUGAAUUUCGGGACCAUCAUGUCGGUCGUGCCUCGGUACGUACUGGCAUCGUCGGUUUCUCCCUUCUGACGAACCAUGAUGUCAUUUAUUUGGUGUUGUGGGGAAUCAGGACUGUUACUUUGAAAAAAUUAGAGUGUUUAAAGCAGGCUCACGCUUGAAUACAUUAGCAUGGAAUAAUGAAAUAGGACGUUUGAUUCUAUUUUGUUGGUUUCUAGGAUCGACGUAAUGAUUAAUAGGGAUAGUUGGGGGCAUUAGUAUUCAAUUGUCAGAGGUGAAAUUCUUGGAUUUAUCGAAGACUAACUACUGCGAAAGCAUUUGCCAAGGAUGUUUUCAUUAAUCAAGAACGAAAGUUAGGGGAUCGAAGACGAUCAGAUACCGUCGUAGUCUUAACCAUAAACUAUGCCGACUAGGGAUCGGAUGAUGUUAAUUUUUUAAUGACUCAUUCGGCGCCUUACGGGAAA
rnacentral:rRNA from 1 species